UACGUAGGGAGCAAGCGUUGUCCGGAAUCAUUGGGCGUAAAGCGCGCGUAGGCGGCCCUGUAAGUCCGCUGUGAAAGUCAAAGGCUCAACCUUUGAAUGCCGGUGGAUACUGCAGGGCUAGAGUCCGGAAGAGGCAAGUGGAAUUCCUGGUGUAGCGGUGAAAUGCGUAGAUAUCUGGAGGAACACCGGUGGCGAAGGCGGCAUCCUGGACCGGCAUUGACGCUGAGGCGCGAAAGCCAGGGGAGCAAACGGG
rnacentral:rRNA from 1 species